rnacentral:tRNA from 1 species
GCCGGUGUGGUGGAACAGGCAGACGCGACGGACUCAAAAUCCGUUCCGGGCAACCGGGUGGGGGUUCGAUUCCCCCCACCGGCA